GUCAGGUUGGCCGAGUGGUUAAGGCGCCUUGUUCAAGCCUUGGUUCCCAAAAGGAGCGUGGGUUCGAAUCCCACACCUGACA